AGGAGUUGCGCUAGAGUUAAGACAAUGAUCACGUUGGGAGUUCGAGAGUUCGACGGAAGUCCGGACGGUCGUUGGAGGUUCUACGGAAACAAAUCUGAGAAGUCCAGGAGCUUGCCAAAAAAGCUUAUUGGAACUUUGCAAGUGGAUCAUCGCAAGUCCAGGAGUUUGCCGGAAGUCCAUAGGAGCAUCACCGAGGGUUCAUCGGAUGAUCGACGGAAGCUCGCCGGAAGAAGCGAUUGACGCACCGGAGCAAGUUGCAGUAAAUGUCUUAAGAAAUUCGUAGUUAGCACGAUGAUUAAG
rnacentral:lncRNA from 1 species